rnacentral:tRNA from 2 species
GGACCGGUAGUUCAGUUCUGGUUAGAACGCCGCCCUGUCACGGCGGAGGUCGCGGGUUCGAGUCCCGUCCGGUCCGCCA